UAAAUAUCAUCAGCGUCAGUGAGCCAAUAAGCAUGCAGCAUGCACUAAUAAUGUUUGUAAUUGGCUGUCUAGCGUUACUAGGCAGGCAUCCACCAGCCAAACGGCG